rnacentral:rRNA from 1 species
GAUGAACGCUGGCGGCGUGCCUAAUACAUGCAAUUCGAGCGAACGGACGAGAAGCUUGCUUCUCUGAUGUUAGCGGCGGACGGGUUAGUAACACGUGGAUAACCUACCUAUAAGACUUGGAUAACUUCGGGAAACCGGAGCUAAUACCGGAUAAUAUUUUGAACCGCAUUGUUCAAAAGUAAAAGACGGUCUUUCUGUCACUUAUAGAUGGAUCCGCGCUGCAUUAGCUAGUUGGUAAGGUAACGGCUUACCAAGGCAACGAUGCAUAGCCGACCUGAGAGGGUGAUCGGCCACACUGGAACUGAGACACGGUCCAGACUCCUACGGGAGGCAGCAGUAGGGAAUCUUCCGCAAUGGGCGAAAGCCUGACGGAGCAACGCCGCGUGAGUGAUGAAGGUCUUCGGAUCGUAAAACUCUGUUAUUAGGGAAGAACAUAUGUGUAAGUAACUGUGCACAUCUUGACGGUACCUAAUCAGAAAGCCACGGCUAACUACGUG